UGGGGAAUUUUGGACAAUGGGCGAAAGCCUGAUCCAGCAAUGCCGCGUGUGUGAAGAAGGCCUUCGGGUUGUAAAGCACUUUUGUCCGGAAAGAAAUCCUUGGCUCUAAUACAGUCGGGGGAUGACGGUACCGGAAGAAUAAGCACCGGCUAACUACGUGCCAGCAGCCGCGGUAAUACGUAGGGUGCAAGCGUUAAUCGGAAUUACUGGGCGUAAAGCGUGCGCAGGCGGUUUGCUAAGACCGAUGUGAAAUCCCCGGGCUCAACCUGGGAACUGCAUUGGUGACUGGCAGGCUAGAGUAUGGCAGAGGGGGGUAGAAUUCCACGUGUAGCAGUGAAAUGCGUAGAGAUGUGGAGGAAUACCGAUGGCGAAGGCAGCCCCCUGGGCCAAUACUGACGCUCAUACACGAAAGCGUGGGGAGCAAACAGGAUUAGAUACCCUGGUAGUCCACGCCCUAAACGAUGUCAACUAGUUGUUGGGGAUUCAUUUUCCUUAGUAACGUAGCUAACGCGUGAAGUUGACCGCCUGGGGAGUACGGUCGCAAGAUUAAAACUCAAAGGAAUUGACGGGGUCAUAGCUGUUUCCU
rnacentral:rRNA from 1 species